GAACGCUAGCGGCAGGCUUAACACAUGCAAGUCGAGGGGCAUCGAGAGUAGCAAUACUUGUCGGCGACCGGCGGCAAGGGUGCGUAACACGUGAGCAACAUACCCGUUUCAGGAGGAUAACCGGAGGAAACUCUGCCUAAUACUCCAUGACAUCAUCAAACGGCAUCGUUUGAUGAUUAAAGAUUUAUCGGAAACGGCUUGGCUCGCGGGACAUUAGCUUGUUGGUGAGGUAACGGCUCACCAAGGCUACGAUGUCUAGGGGUUCUGAGAGGAAGGUCCCCCACACUGGAACUGAGACACGGUCCAGACUCCUACGGGAGGCAGCAGUGAGGAAUAUUGGACAAUGGUCGGAAGACUGAUCCAGCCAUGCCGCGUGAAGGUUACUGUCCUAUGGAUAUUAAACUUCUUUUGUAUGAGAGCAAUAAGGUGCACGCGUGCACCGAUGAGAGUAUCAUACGAAUAAGCAUCGGCUAACUCCGUG
rnacentral:rRNA from 1 species